UGCUUCCCUCUCGCCCUCGACGCUCCCAGCGGCUACUGAAACCACAUAUGUUUUGAAGGCUAAACGUAUUUUAUUAUUGGCUACUGUUUCACAAAAUGUUAACGGUUAUGUUUAGCUUACCAUGCAGAAUAAUGAAAAAAAAAAUAUUUUUUUUUAAAUCUAAUUUUUUAAACUUGCAAUAUCAACACUUAGCAAUAUCAAAUGUUACUAGUGUAGCCCCUCACAAGCAUGCACGAAUACUUCUUAAAAGUCAAAACUAGAUAUAUUGCGCUUUGUUGUGCAAACAUUUCAUCUCGACUGUGCAAAGCCAGCGUUGCUGCACCACUGACCUCGCUUGUGUAGGCCUAAAUGUGACCUAGAGCUAUAGCCUAGUAAUUCCACAUUCCAGCCCGCCUGCCAACGAGACGUCACGCGGUUGACUGCACUCAGCUAGUCAUGCUAAACCGACUUAGGUUUGAGCCACCACAGCAGAUUUAGAAUACAAUACCCUUAACUCUAAUAUAGCCAGAGUGCUUAGGCUACUAAUCCCAAAAAUAAAAAAACAUUAAAAAAAUAAUAACCAGCGGUACACACUCGGUCCAAUAAGUAGAGGCAACGUUUUAUUCCAUUUAAAAAGAAAGGCCGGUACAUUUGGCCCCGCUCCGCCUCGGUUUGCUCAGAUAAAACUUCCUUUCUACGUCGGGGGUGGUGACAGUCACCGUGGGUAAAUUAUUUAUCUUUAGGCAUGUGAACUUCGUUCAGACUCCAGGCUCAGUUGACUCAUGUCAGCCAAGCCCAUGUGAUUCAGCAAGCAACAAUUGGUUGAGGUUCAGGGCGACGCGGAAAGCCCCAUAUCAAAGACAAGUCUAGACCACGCAAAUAUUCUGGAAUUGUUUUAAUCAGCUUCAAAAAAAACCUGGGAUUUGCACACUCAACGUUUUGGGACAGUCCUCUUUGCAGGCCUGGAAAGGAGGGUGGCAGUCUGCCAAGACAAAGGCUUCUGGGAAAAGGUAGAAGCUGCCAAGCGAGCUCCUGUCGCCGACGUUAGAAGCACACAUCUUUGUUCUCUAAGACCUGGUGUUCUGCCACAGGCUUCAUUUCAGCCUCCGCAUUAUGGUUGCCCUGGAUGCGAGCCAGACUCCUGAGAGCUCCCUACCUCUCCCACUUUUCUGCUUCUGCCUCUUCUCUCUCGUUCUCUCGUUCUCUCUCUCUGUGUGUUUUCGUCUCGCUCUUGCCCUCCCUCUCUCUCACUCUCCCUUAUUCAUCGGCCAUUUACGGCUCGCUGCCAAACAUUCUGCAGUUGCCAUGGCAGCCUGAGGAGUGGAACAUUGGAGAAGUACUGCAAAUGAGUCAUUCCUGGGUCCAGAUGUGCCACAUCUGUAACAAGGCGGUGAAAGAGCAGACAGCAGCAGACUUGCACAAACAAGAGCUACCACUCGACAACAACUGCAACACCAACACCACCAACAACAAUCAUCAUGGCAGGCAUGCUGCAAAAUCUGCCAGACUUGAACAAGAAAACGAAAGUCUUGGCUUGUCUGGGUUUGUUCAAUAAGCUGGUAUGACGGUAUUUUUUUGAGCAGUCGCUUUCUGCUUGAUAGUGUAUGAAAACACAUCAUAUGUGGUUACAAUGGAUGUAGUUGUUGACAAUAGGCACCCCACUUUAUAUGUAAAUGUCAUGACAAACAGUAAGUAUUUAAAAAAACAGCAUAUUGUGAACUUUGCAUGAGAGAACAUAGUGGAACCCAAGAUGACUCUGCAUUUUAAUGUUUGUGCCAUUUUUCCUGACAGUUGACUUUGCCUUGCAAGCUCAGAGCUUCUGGAAGCAAAAUGGUGAAGUCACUAGCAAAAACUAAGUCUCCCCUCCCUCUCUCUCUCUCUCUCUCUCUCUCUGCUGUCUUUGCUUCUGAUUGCCUCCACUACUUCCUUGACUUCUCGACUGCUCAAAAUGCAGGUAUGACCAAGAACAGUUUUUGCAUGGCCUCUCAAAAUAACGCAGUGAUGUAACUAAGCCCAAGAGCAAGAGCUGGCGAAUAAUGACAGCUUAUGUAAUGUCCAGACAGCGCUCUAUCUCUCUGUCUGAAUCUUUUUCUUUCCUCUCUCUCUCUCUCUUUCUCUCUCUCUCUCUCUCUCUCUCUCUCUCUCUCUCUCGUAUCAAACGUUGCCAUGCUUUAGUUUUAAAUUCCUCAGAGUUUCUUUUGAUGUCUGGAGCAUUCAGCUGUCUGGUUCUUCUCUGAGACAGCAAGAGGCUUUCUGAAGUAAUCCGAUUUACUUUAACACUGUGGCAAGUGUUGUGUGAGAUUCCAGCCAUACUACUAUUUUCGUCUCACGCAAAUAUUCACUGAAACAUAAGGACACAGACCUCAGUUGUUAUUUGGUCUCGAACCUUCAGUGUACGGCCCACAAAAGAAUUCUGUUUCCAGGGUACUGGGAGGCAUGUGUUACAAUGUGCAGUAAACCCUACUCACAUACUGAUGAUCGGGCUUGUGUGCAAUUCUCUGGCUACUGAAUGCAAUCUCUGGAAUUCUGAACGAGGCGGGCACAGGCCAGCGAUGAAGCUCUUUCUGUAGUGUGCAAGCCAUAAAGUUGUAGUUUCCCCUUUGCCUGGCCCUGUGUGGUUUGGACAAUACACUCGUAAAAAUAAAAAGAUGAAGAAGGAGCAAGCCCCUUUAUGAGUGCUCCUGUCAAGGAACACUCUUUGUGAUGUAACCCUCAUCUUGUUUCCAUGCAUGCGGAGUGCUUUCCUGAUUCUUCUACUCCUGUCCUUUUGCCCAUAUGAAGUUCCCCCCCAAGACUCCACCUCAUAUAACGUGACUGCAGAACGUUUCCAUGCAUCGUAUACGAAGCACUUAUUGGGCCUCUCCCCGAUACCUGAUGGAAAGAUUCUUUCUUCGAGUUCUCUAUCUCACCCUCUUAUCCUGCCAAACAUUUGCAUGCACUAUCUUUAUUUCAUCUGUGUUCCCUCUUCUUUCUACCCUAACCUGCAGCAUGGAUGCCUCUCUCUCCUGUUCUGUUUUGCCAUUUCAUCAACCCCCUGCAACCCGUGUGUCCCAAGAUACUCCCAUUUACUUCUCAGUGCUCACUCGCUUGGACCUUCUGAUGGCAUGAACCUGCACCUCCCUUGUUGCACUUUUACAUCUAAGGCACGGCUGCUUGCAGGCGUUUAACUGCAGACCCCUAGCAGGGGGCAUGGCUGGUGGGAGCAGGCCGGACGGUGUCUGUGCUGGAAGAGCUUUGCCCUGAGCUGGAGGAUGUUUUGAGUGGCACACUGUGUUCGGACUGGGGGUUGGAGAAGCAGAGGGCUGCACGCAGGACUCUAAACUGAGGGAAGCACGAGAAAGGAGGCGAGGCCAGGGGAAGAAAAGCCUCAGCAGAUUACUGCGCCAUCGCUGGGGGACUCGAAAAAGGGAACGACACCAGCAUUACCGCCGCCUUUCUAGCCGACAGUUGGAAACGGGGUUUUCUUCUACUUCUUCUUUCUUUCUUACUUUCUCACUUUCCAUCUUGCCUUUCCGCGAUGGCCGAGAUGCCUUGCCGUCGAUGCAGCGGACGGCACCCACCUGCCCUGCGCACAAAAGGCCCUUGUGUUACUCACGGCCAGCUCGUCCACUC